GGAAGAUUGGAAAUCUGCCGCAUUCAUCCCUGUCUUCAAAGGGGGAGACACCCUGGACCCUAACUGCUAUAGACCCAUAUCUAUCUUACCUUGUCUCUUGAAAGUCCUCAAAAGCUUGGUCAGUAAACAGAUUACCAACCACCUUGAAUCCCACCGUAUCCUUUCCAUCACAUAAUCUGGCUUCGUGCCAGUAUGCCAGUAUACUAUUUCUCUGAUAAGAUCCAGUGCGUUACAUGUGUGGGCCUGCUGUCUGAACCUAUGGCUGUCUCUUCGAUUCUUGCGCCAACUCUUUUCUCCCUAUACAUCAAGGAUGUAGCUCUUGCUGCUGGAAAUUCUCAAAUCCACCUAUACGCAGAUGACACUAUAUUGUACACAUCCGGCCCCUCACCGGAUACUGUUCCAUCAAACCUUCAGGAAAGCUUCAGUGCCAUCCAGCACAACUUCCGAAACCUCCACUUAUGGCUAAACUCUGGCAAAACCAAGUUUAUCGGGUGCUCACCCUAUUAGCAUUACCAGGCUUGAUGGGUUGGAACUAGAAAACAUGGUGGUGUACAAAUACCUAGGUGUCUAGUUAUACAGUUCCUUCUCUUUCCAGCAACACAUAAAACACCUUCAAUCUAAAAUUAGGUCCAGGAUUGUUUUCCUAUUCCGCAACAGGGCCUCCUUGACUCAUGCCGCCAAACUUGCUUUGUGAAAAUGACAAUUUUACCGAUUCUUGAUUUCAGUGAUGUCAUGUACAGAACUGCUUCCAAGUCUCUCCUGAAAACACUAGAUGUUCUUACUUGCAAGGCUAUACGUUUUUGUCUGUUUGGUGUGUUUUGCCCUUUACAUCCUUCC